rnacentral:rRNA from 1 species
UAGGGAAUCUUCCACAAUGGGCGCAAGCCUGAUGGAGCAACACCGCGUGAGUGAAGAAGGUUUUCGGAUCGUAAAGCUCUGUUGUAAGAGAAGAACGUGUGUGAGAGUGGAAAGUUCACACAGUGACGGUAACUUACCAGAAAGAGACGGCUAACUACGUGCCAG